GAACCUUUACUGCAGCUUGACACUGAACUUUGACCUUACUUGUGUAGGAUAGGUGGGAGGCUUUGAAGCUGGAACGCUAGUUCCAGUGGAGCCGUACUUGAAAUACCACCCUGGUAAUGUUGAGGUUCUAACUCUGUCCCGUGAUCCGGGACGAGGACCGUGUCUGGUGGGUAGUUUGACUGGGGCGGUCUCCUCCUAAAGAGUAACGGAGGAGUACGAAGGUGCGCUCAGCGUGGUCGGAAAUCACGCGUAGAGUAUAAUGGCAAAAGCGCGCUUAACUGCGAGACCCACAAGUCGAGCAGGUACGAAAGUAGGUCUUAGUGAUCCGGUGGUUCUGUAUGGAAGGGCCAUCGCUCAACGGAUAAAAGGUACUCUGGGGAUAACAGGCUGAUACCGCCCAAGAGUUCAUAUCGACGGCGGUGUUUGGCACCUCGAUGUCGGCUCAUCUCAUCCUGGGGCUGAAGCAGGUCCCAAGGGUAUGGCUGUUCGCCAUUUAAAGAGGUACGCGAGCUGGGUUUAGAACGUCGUGAGACAGUUCGGUCCCUAUCUACCGUGGGCGCUGGAAAUUUGAGAGGAUCUGCUCCUAGUACGAGAGGACCAGAGUGGACGAACCUCUGGUGUACCGGUUGUGACGCCAGUCGCAUCGCCGGGUAGCUAUGUUCGGAAGGGAUAACCGCUGAAAGCAUCUAAGCGGGAAGCCUACCUCAAGAUAAGAUUUCCCUAGGACUUUAUGUCCUCUAAAGAGCCGUUCGAGACUAGGACGUUGAUAGGUUGGAUGUGGAAGCAUAGUGAUAUGUGAAGCUGACCAAUACUAAUUGCUCGUGAGGCUUGACUAU
rnacentral:rRNA from 1 species